UGUAAGCGUAUACCAAAGUUGUUGCAGUUAAAACGCUCGUAGUCGGAAUUUGGCAGUUCCGGAUGUGUGCACGUCGUGUGCGCACUUCGCGGGGAUUGCUUUUGUGGUCUUGCGUAGGAUGAGGCACUUUUACUAGUGAACGUCUUCACGCAACCACUUUUUACUGUGAGAAAAUCAGAGUGCUCAAAGCAGGCAUUUGCCGUGAAUGUAUUAGCAUGGAAUAAUAGAAUAGGACUUGGUUCUAUUUUGUUGGUUUGUUGGGACUGAGUAAUGAUUAAGAGGGACAGUUGGGGGCAUUUGUAUUUCGGUGCUAGAGGUGAAAUUCUUAGAUUACCGAAAGACAAACUGCUGCGAAAGCGUCUGCCAAGGAUGUUUUCAUUGA
rnacentral:rRNA from 1 species